CUCCAGACUCCUACGGGAGGCAGCAGUGGGGAAUAUUGCACAAUGGGGGAAACCCUGAUGCAGCGACGCCGCGUGAGUGAAGAAGUAUUUCGGUAUGUAAAGCUCUAUCAGUAGGGAAGAAAAUGACGGUACCUGAAGAAGAAGCCCCGGCUAACUACGUGCCAGCAGCCGCGGUAAUACGUAGGGGGCAAGCGUUAUCCGGAUUUACUGGGUGUAAAGGGGGCGCAGACGGCAGCGCAAGCCAGGAGUGAAAGCCCGGGGCCCAACCCCGGGACUGCUCUUGGAACUGCGCGGCUGGAGUGCAGGAGGGGCAGGCGGAAUUCCUGGUGUAGCGGUGAAAUGCGUAGAUAUCAGGAGGAACACCGGUGGCGAAGGCGGCCUGCUGGACUGCGACUGACGUUGAGGCCCGAAAGCGUGGGGAGCAAACAGGAUUAGAUACCCGAGUAAG
rnacentral:rRNA from 1 species